rnacentral:misc_RNA from 1 species
GAUGAAGAACGUAGUGAAAUGCGAUAAGUAAUGUGAAUUGCAGAAUUCAGUGAAUCAUCGAAUCUUUGAACGCACAUUGCGCCCGCCAGCAUUCUGGCGGGCAUGCCUGUUCGAGCGUCAUUUCAACCCUCGACUUCCCUUUGGGGAAAUCGGCGUUGGGGACCGGCCGUAUACCGCCGGCCCCGAAAUGAAGUGGCGGCCCGUCCGCGGCGACCUCUGCGUAGUAAUCCAACUCGCACCGGAACCCCGACGUGGCCACGCCGUAAAACCCCCGACUUCUGAACGUUGACCUCGGAUCAGGUAGGAAUACCCGCUGAACUUAAGCAUAUCAAUAAGCGGAGGA